ACACCCUCAAGCUCUGCUUGGUGUUGGGCGUCUGUCCCGCCUCGUGCGUGGACUCGCCCCAAAGGUAUUGGCAGCGGUCGUGCCAGCUUCUCGCGCAGCAUACGCGCUACGGAGGCGGGUCGGUCGGCGUCCACAAGCUCAUUUUACCC
rnacentral:misc_RNA from 1 species